GCAUAACGCGAAGAACCUUACCUAGGCUUGACAUGCAUCUCUAAGCGCGUGAAAGCGCGUGACCCUUCGGGGGAUUUGCACAGGUGCUGCAUGGCCGUCGUCAGCUCGUGUCGUGAGAUGUUGGGUUAAGUCCCGCAACGAGCGCAACCCUUGUGAACAGUUGCCAGCACUUAAGGUGGGAACUCUGUUCAGACUGCCCAGAUCAACUGGGAGGAAGGUGGGGACGACGUCAGGUCAGUAUGGCCCUUACGCCUAGGGCUGCACACGUACUACAAUGCCCAGCACAAUGAGAACCGAGACCGCGAGGUGGAGGAAAUCUAAAAACUGGGCCCAGUUCGGAUUGGAGGCUGCAACUCGCCUCCAUGAAGUUGGAAUCGCUAGUAAUGGCGCAUCAGCUACGGCGCCGUGAAUACGUUCCCGGGUCUUGUACACACCG
rnacentral:rRNA from 1 species